rnacentral:lncRNA from 1 species
UCUUCCUUAAAACAAUAACAGCACAACUACAAACCCUUCUUGGUGUGUCCCUCAUUGAGAUUUUAUCAAGGCAUUCGACUGAUGAGGUCUACCUUGGGCAGAGAGAUACUACUGAGUGGACUUCAGAUCCUGAACCAAAAGCAGCAUUUGAAAGAUUUGCAAAAAAUCUAGAAGAAAUUGAGAAGAAAAUUAUAGAUAUGAACAACGAUAAGAAAUGGAAGAACAGAGUUGGGCCAGUGAAGGUGCCUUACACCUUACUUUAUCCUAACACCACAGAUUACUCUAAAGAGGGCGGACUUACUGGGAAGGGAAUUCCCAACAGUAUCUCUAUAUAAUUUUAGAUCAAUCAGCCAUUAAAAAGUUGUAAUUCCCAAGUGAAUUCUAUUUGGUCAAGGGCAAUAGACCUAUACUGGAACUCUUGCCUGAUAUGGGCUUUAAUGCAAUUCUAUUGCAGCUAAAAAUUAAAAAAUUAAAGAAAAAAAAAAUUGUCUUCACACCAAAAUCUUUAAGUUUAAUAAUCAUACGUUUAAAAGCUACAAUAACGAUCAAUAUAUUUUUUUAAAAGGCUAAUCAAGCAAGUGAAAAAUAUUCAAUUAUGUAUGAUAUACAAGAGGGUAAAGAAUGAGAUGCCUCUACCUUGUUCGCAUUGUAUGGAAAACGGUGCGUUUAACGUUACCUCUGCGCCUUAUAAUUUGUUUUGCUGAACCACGUUUAAGGUUACCUCCAUCCCUCACCAUCUUAAUCUUAUCAUCCGGAUUUAUUAAUUUUAGUUUUUUUUUAAAAAAAAGUAUAUGUUAUUAUUGCCAUUUUAAAAUUUUCCAUAAAUUUUAUUGAUUGUUAAAAAAAUAAUAUAAUUUUUUAAUUCAAGAAAUUUAGUUAACUUACCUGGAAAAAAGAGAUUUAAUUAUCUUAAAAAUAAAUAUUGGGAUUAGCUUAAUAAUGCUUAACAUAUAUAACAGCGUUAAUUUCUCAAUUAAGCAAUUCUUUUUACUUGGAAUACCAUUAUAUUUCAACUCAAAAAAUUAUUUAUGUAUUUAUUUGUUUUUAUUUUUAUUAUUGAUCUGAUUGAAAUUUAUAUUUGAAAAUUUUCAACCUUAAAUUUUAUUUAUUGUGCUUUUAAAUAUAAAGAAAAACUAAACAUUUUAUUAUGAUUGACAAAAAUAAACCAUUAAUUUGUUUUGGAAAAAAAAAAUUUCAAAUUGCCAAGCCCAAUCUAUUGUUUAUUGACAACAAUACAAUCUAUCUUUUAACCAAAAAAAAAACCGAAAAUUCCCAGUUUUCUUUUUAGAAAUUAUGUUAAAUGAUAUUUAAAUUAACUUUGGAUUAUUUACUUUUUGAAGUGAUUUUGAGAAAUUCACUAAUAAAAUGAAUUCAUGUCUAGUUAUAUUGAUGUUUAUGUUAAAAGUUUGAUACUUCAAAUUAAUAGUUUAUUUUAAAAUUUUUUUUGUCUGAAUUUAUUUACACCAGAAAACACAUAGGUUGGGCUUGGGAGGAUUAAAAGAAGGAAAUGAGGUGUGGGUAAGGGGCAAGCCAACGUAUCAAAAUCAGACAUUCUAAUUGGUCCAAACUCUACCAUCUUAUCCAUAGUUACGCCACCACCCACCUAAAUCAACCACCCUUUUUCUAUCUUCUUCGUCACAAACAGCUCCACGUCGUAGAAAUCAUUGCUUAGCCUCCCCAGAAUCUCGGAUUCCUUGUAGCAAUGGCAACUCAAGCUUCUCUCUUCACACCCACCAUCAUCUCCACCCUUAAAUCAAGCAACCAUGUGAUGGUGCCAUGGAAACAAUCCUCCUUUAUCUCAAUCCCUACCUCUGCUAAAAAAUACUCCAACCCUCAAACAACCAUCAAGGCUACUGCUGCAGAGGGAAAAACUGAGGAGGCUCCUGUGGGAUUCACACCACCAGAGUUGGACCCAAAUACCCCAUCACCAAUAUUUGGCGGCAGCACUGGUGGGUUGUUAAAGAAGGCCCAGGUGGAGGAGUUUUACGUGAUCACUUGGGAUUCACCGAAGGAACAAAUAUUUGAAAUGCUCACUGGUGGUGCAGCCAUUAUGAGGCAAGGUCCUAACUUGCUUAAGCUGGCAAGGAAAGAGCAGUGCUUGGCUCUUGGGACAAGGCUGAGGUCCAAAUACAAGAUUAAGUACCAGUUUUACAGGGUGUUUCCAAAUGGGGAAGUCCAAUAUUUGCACCCGAAGGAUGGGGUGUAUCCUGAGAAGGUGAACCCAGGGCGUCAAGGUGUUGGCCAGAAUUUCAGGUCAAUCGGAAAGAAUGCGAGUCCAAUUGAGGUGAAGUUCACUGGGAAGCAAGUUUACGAUUUGUGAGGUGAGUAAAGACUAUGUGAUUAUUUUACAUUUUAUUUUGUGUAAUUGUAUUCCUUUCUAAGGAGCAACAAGAGAAGCCAAACUUGCUACUUAAAUACUUGAACAUAUAUUUCUUUUGUAUUAUGAAGCUCUAGCCUAGCAUAGUAAAAUCGUUUCACAUAGUAAAGAAGCAUCAGACAGAUACACAAUCUGGUGGAACAUCAGAUUGAGCUAUCAGCCAAUUGCAGGGUAAGCGAUGAUCGACACAAAGCUAGCUUUGCUGCACAAUCAGCUAUUAUAUUUGCUUUCCUACUCAAAAGAAAAAGGAAAAGGAUAAGAAAUUGAACAGCUUUAACUGACGCUUGUUGUGAACUCAAAUGCUAAACUCACAAUAUAAUUAUAUUCGUUAAUGGAAUACAAUAAUACCUUAGGGAACGAUAAUUGCCAGGUUGCUGCAACACAAAACAACAACCAGUCGCUGCAGGGUUGGAAAGUGCUAAAUUUCUGGGUUCGUAAAUUGAUCCAUGGCCGCUUCCUUUCCUGAACAGCUUUAGGCGUCCAUGGGCUGUUAUCUCAUCUUCUGUAUGGAUCGUGUCGGAUAUAGGCUAGGUUCUCUUAUUGGGUCCAUUGGCC